GAUUUCUGGUUUGAUAUGUCUGGCCCGCCGCGGUUACGCGUGUGUGCGCCGGUACGUGUCGGCCAUCCUUCUAGAAAACGUGUCUACCCUUCACUGGGCCGGAUACGCGAUCUAGAUCUUUUACUUUGAAAAAAUUAGAGUGUUUAAAGCAGGCUUUUUGCUAUGAAUACAUUAGCAUGGAAUAAUAAUUUAGGACUUUGGUCCUAUUUUGUUGGUUUCUAGGACUGAAGUAAUGAUUGAUAGGGAUAGUUGGGGGUGCUCGAAUUCAGCGGCCAGAGGUGAAAUUCUUGGAUUCGCUGAAGACGAACUCAUGCGAAAGCAUU
rnacentral:rRNA from 1 species